rnacentral:rRNA from 1 species
UACGUAGGGACCAAGCGUUGUCCGGAAUCAUUGGGCGUAAAGAGCGUGUAGGCGGCCCGGUAAGUCCGCUGUGAAAGUCGGGGGCUCAACCCUCGAAUGCCGGUGGAUACUGUCGGGCUAGAGUGCGGAAGAGGCGAGUGGAAUUCCUGGUGUAGCGGUGAAAUGCGCAGAUAUCAGGAGGAACACCAAUUGCGAAGGCAGCUCGCUGGGACGUAACUGACGCUGAGACGCGAAAGCGUGGGGAGCAAACAGG